AACACAUGCAAGUCGAGCGCCCCGCAAGGGGAGCGGCAGACGGGUGAGUAACGCGUGGGAAUCUACCUUUUGCUACGGAAUAACGCAGGGAAACUUGUGCUAAUACCGUAUGUGUCCUUCGGGAGAAAGAUUUAUCGGCAAGAGAUGAGCCCGCGUUGGAUUGGCUAGUUGGUGGGGUAAAGGCCUACCAAGGCGACGAUCCAUAGCUGGUCUGAGAGGAUGAUCAGCCACAUUGGGACUGAGACACGGCCCAAACUCCUACGGGAGGCAGCAGUGGGGAAUAUUGGACAAUGGGCGCAAGCCUGAUCCAGCCAUGCCGCGUGAGUGAUGAAGGCCCUAGGGUUGUAAAGCUCUUUCACCGGAGAAGAUAAUGACGGUAUCCGGAGAAGAAGCCCCGGCUAACUUCGUGCCAGCCGCCGCGGUAA
rnacentral:rRNA from 2 species